rnacentral:rRNA from 1 species
UACGUAGGGUGCAAGCGUUGUCCGGCAUUAUUGGGCGUAAAGAGCUCGUAGGCGGUCUGUCGCGUCGAAUGUGAAAACCCGGGGCUCAACCCCGGGCCUGCAUUCGAUACGGGCAGACUAGAGUUCGGUAGGGGAGUCUGGAAUUCCUGGUGUAGCGGUGAAAUGCGCAGAUAUCAGGAGGAACACCGGUGGCGAAGGCGGGACUCUGGGCCGGUACUGACGCUGAGGAGCGAAAGCAUGGGGAGCGAACAGG